rnacentral:lncRNA from 1 species
AAUUUUGAAAGCUAAGUAAAAAGUUACUUAUUGAAAGGUUUUGUUUAAUUUUAUAGUUGUUAGAUUAUUAGAUUAAAUUCAAUUUUAUUGAAAGGAUUAAAUAUAAUAAACUAGAAAAUUGAGUAAAAUCAAAGAAAAAUUAGUUUUAGUAGUUAAAGAGACUUUAGAAAUCGCCUAAACAUGAAAUAAUUAAGUUUGAGUAUCUCCUAUUUAAUUAA